UAGCCAUUAUUCAUCAUGUCUGAAAAAGAUAAGACUGAGAAUGCAGAGGCAAAAGAGACCAGUGAUAAAGAGGAGUCAAAGGAGGUAGACAAAUCACAGGAGGGGGAUGGGAAAAAGGAAGGAGAUGCUUCAGGAGAAGCAAAAGAAGGAGAAGGAGAAGCAAAGGGAGAAGGCGAAGAAAAGAAAGAAGGAGGGGAGGAGGAAGGAGGGUCUGCUGAAGGAGGUGCAGCAGCAGCGGGGGGAGCUGCUCCAGGGGGCGACCCUCCAACGGGGGAGAAUGGCGAGAUUGUGGGAGGACCCCGAGGACCCCAGCAGGUGGCAGCACAGAAACGACUUCAACAGACCCAGGCGCAAGUCGAUGAGGUUGUGGGAAUAAUGCGAGUCAACGUGGCAAGAGUAUUGGAACGUGAUCAGAAACUGUCCGAACUCGAUGACCGUGCAGAUGCCCUUCAGCAGGGAGCCUCACAGUUUGAGCAGCAGGCUGGAAAACUAAAGAGGAAAAUGUGGUGGAAGAACAUUAAGAUGAUGAUCAUUAUGGGAGUCAUCGGUCUUAUUGUCCUCAUCAUCAUUGUUGUUAACUUCAUGUAAAUCGUCGUGUAUCAAUGUCUUCUGUAUGUGCGCUCUUGAAACAAAAAACAAGCCUGGGCAGCAAGCUAAUUUGCUUUGCAGGACAGGUGUCGGUGAAUGUGUGUGGGUGAGAGCUCUAUUACAAGAAAAAAAAAAAAAAAAAAACUUUUUUGAACAUAGAAACGUCUGCUAAGAUACCACUAGUUAGGAUUAUAGAGGGUGGAGCAGUAGACGUCAAAAAUUGUUCUUACUUAUGUACUCAUGUUAUUU
rnacentral:misc_RNA from 1 species